AGUGCAUGUCAAGUGUGCCUCAGAGUCUUACCCCACCCACGUAUCAAUUUUGAAAACUGCAACAUUAGUAGGCGUUGCCUGGAGGACCGAGAGGGCGGAGCCGCGGCAGUGACGAAGAGACGGCUAACUAGACGAAGCUAGCUCCCUUCACUCUGAGCAGUCAUUAGAAGUGGAGGACGUUUCUCCCCCUCCUUACCCAGACACUCGAGAAGAAAGGGACCAAGUCUAUUUGGAGGAGACAAGCGGACCUGAGCCUUAUUGUUUUGAGCUUGUGAGUUGCCUGAAAUUACUGGAACCGACCCAACAGACCCAUCUCUGAACGUGAUCCUCUGGUGUCUGCAGCUGAUCUCCUGCUGAUGUCGUCGGGAUCAGGAGCUUCCAGAAGAAUGUGCCUUUCAAUGACUCUUUCCCCCUUAUUUGUUAUAUUAAUUAAAUAAAUCUCAAUUUAUAUAUUUCCUGUUUUUGUUCAUGUCCAUAAAUACUUAAACAUGCUUGAAAUUAAAACGAGCUUUUAA